UACGUAGGGUGCAAGCGUUGUCCGGAAUUAUUGGGCGUAAAGAGCUCGUAGGCGGUCUGUCGCGUCGGAUGUGAAAAUCCAGGGCUCAACCCUGGACCUGCAUUCGAUACGGGCAGACUAGAGUUCGGCAGGGGAGACUGGAAUUCCUGGUGUAGCGGUGAAAUGCGCAGAUAUCAGGAGGAACACCGGUGGCGAAGGCGGGUCUCUGGGACGGUACUGACGCUGAGACGCGAAAGCGUGGGGAGCGAACAGG
rnacentral:rRNA from 1 species